CUAUUCUACACCCUGACCAAGAUCGUGAACUGGCUAAAGAGUAAGACAUUUGUCAUCUAUACUCUCGAUGGCUUAUUCAAAAUUGGUUUUCAAAAUGGAAUUUUUUUAGUUCACACAUCAGUAUUGGUUAAUUCACAAAUACAUUCAAUUGGUAAACAGAAGGGUAUCUGAGAGUCUUUGUCGCGGAAUCGUGAUCACUCAUCGCACUUCAGCGUAUCUACCAAAUGCACACACGUAUCUUACCUGUGCUCCCGAUGAUAAGCGCAAAUAGACAAAACAAACAACAACUUGCUAACAAUUAUAAAUGAUUAGAUCGCUUUUUGGAGCGUUCACUUCGCGGACAGUUCUUUAACAGUAUAUUUUGUCUUCGCUUUAGCUACCAUACGCAUACGCCAAACUGAACGCCUUUUCCCAUAAUGAUUCGCUCGAUCGUUCGAACUUCGAAGCCAAGUUAAAGGAAGGGUACAUGAGUUGUAUAUGAUUCAGAAAAGCAAACUGGUCAGAUGCAAAAACUCACAUCUUCUACGAGCACCUGCAAUCAAAACUGACAACACCGAUUUGGAUAGCAAUGAAUGAGCACUACAACUUUUCUGUACACUAUACAUAAUGGUUAAACUUCACCCACAGCCGAGGGUAUUAUUUAUUUACAGAGGCAACUUUUUAAUUUACAAAAAGGGUAACGUAUAAAUUCAAAGGUGUGGAAG